rnacentral:rRNA from 1 species
GAGCUAUAAGUUCUCUGUAGCGCAGCUAACGCAUUAAGCACUCCGCCUGGGGAGUACGACCGCAAGGUUGAAACUCAAAGGAAUUGACGGGGGCCCGCACAAGCGGUGGAGCAUGUGGUUUAAUUCGAAGCAACGCGAAGAACCUUACCAGGUCUUGACAUACUCGCGCUAUCCUUAGAGAUAAGGAGUUCCUUCGGGACACGGGAUACAGGUGGUGCAUGGUUGUCGUCAGCUCGUGUCGUGAGAUGUUGGGUUAAGUCCCGCAACGAGCGCAACCCUUAUUACUAGUUGCCAUCAUUAAGUUGGGCACUCUAGUGAGACUGCCGGUGAUAAACCGGAGGAAGGUGGGGAUGACGUCAAAUCAUCAUGCCCCUUAUGACCUGGGCUACACACGUGCUACAAUGGAUGGUACAACGAGUCGCCAACCCGCGAGGGUGCGCUAAUCUCUUAAAACCAUUCUCAGUUCGGAUUGCAGGCUGCAACCCGCCUGCAUGAAGUCGGAAUCGCUAGUAAUCGCGGAUCAGCACGCCGCGGUGAAUACGUUCCCGGGCCUUGUACACACCGCCCGUCACACCACGGAAGUUGGGAGUACCCAAAGUAGGUUGCCUAACCGCAAGGAGGGCGCUUCCUAAGGUAAGACCGAUGACUGGGGUGAAGUCGUAACAAGGUAGCC